AUGGACUUCGGGCUCAGCUUGGUUUUCCUUGUCCUUAUUUUAAAAAGUGUACAGUGUGAGGUGCAGCUGGUGGAGUCUGGGGGAGGCUUAGUGCAGCCUGGAGAGUCCCUGAAACUCUCCUGUGAAUCCAAUGAAUACGAAUUCCCUUCCCAUGACAUGUCUUGGGUCCGCAAGACUCCGGAGAAGAGGCUGGAGUUGGUCGCAGCCAUUAAUAGUGAUGGUGGUAGCACCUACUAUCCAGACACCAUGGAGAGACGAUUCAUCAUCUCCAGAGACAAUACCAAGAAGACCCUGUACCUGCAAAUGAGCAGUCUGAGGUCUGAGGACACAGCCUUGUAUUACUGUGCAAGACA